GUAGAUGAUGAACCUUGUUGAUAGGAAUUGCCGUCAGAUACGAAGCUGAAGAUGACUUAAAAAUCUGAAC
rfam:Lingula anatina scaffold137, whole genome shotgun sequence.